UAAAGCCCACAAUGGGUGUGGCCCUAGCUCUGCCCACAGACCUGGAUAAUGUCAGGCAGGCUCUUCAAAGCAGGGUUUUACAAUUACAACAAUGGGUGCUUCAUAAGGAUUUGAUGGUAUUCUUGGACCCGGGACCCAGACUUCUCUUCCUGCCCGGCCGCGGGCGAUUGGGGCUCCCCCGGCUGAGUUUGGCCUCUUCUUAGUAACAACGAUUGUAAAUAAUCAACGUGAGACGCCUACAGGGAUGAGCCUUUGUGAAGGAUGGAAUCACAGCCCCAUUUCUAAAGUAUGAGCGUGGAGAGAGCUGGUGAGCCGACAGGAAUCGGAAAUCUCCCUGCAGUUGGUCCUUUGCGUCCAGUUCACUUUGGCGUCGCUUCCCAGGGCUCCGCACUUCAAAUCACCCUCCACCGUUUCUUCACCUGCCUUCCCCUCUGGGUCCUGUCUCCACAGGGCACCCUUCUAACAUCUGGACCUGAUGUGAGAGGCAGAGAACCGUCUGGAUUCCCCUCCCGGCCUCCCUCUCCACCGCCCUUUUGAUCCAAGAUUGAGUCAUAGAAGACGUCUUCUGGCGAGUGUACGGUGCUGAGUCCAUCUGAGUCGAAGACAGUCAACCCGUGGGUCUUGGGCCAGCUCUGAUCCAUAGGCCUCUCGCUGUUGUG